AGACGUCUACAUUAGAUACCCGGGUAGUCCCAGCCGUAAACUAUGCGCGUUAGGUGUAUCGGUGACCACGAGUUACCGAGGUGCCGAAGGGAAACCGUGAAACGUGCCGCCUGGGAAGUACGGUCGCAAGGCUGAAACUUAAAGGAAUUGGCGGGGAGCACCACAACAGGUGGAGCCUGCGGUUUAAUUGGACUCAACGCCGGGAAGCUCACCGGAUAAGACAGCAGAAUGAUUGCCGGGCUGAAGACUCUGCAUGACUAGCUG
rnacentral:rRNA from 1 species